rnacentral:lncRNA from 1 species
CGUAUGACUAACGAUGGGGUUUGACGAGUUCUCCAUAGCCUCCUUCAAGUCGAAACUCACGAUAGAGGAAUUGUAUCACAUGAUAACUGUACCUAGGAGUUUAUUUUUUUUAUUUUGCUGGGUUGCCACUAUAUGUUGCUAGACAUCACUGGUGGAUCAUGAGAACUUACUAAGAUUAUUUUCGGAUCAACGAUCUUUGUUGAGGUGAGUUAGAAUCGUUUC